rnacentral:rRNA from 1 species
GAUGAACGCUAGCUACAGGCUUAACACAUGCAAGUCGAGGGGAAACGACAUCGCAAGCUUGCUUUUGAUGGGCGUCGACCGGCGCACGGGUGAGUAACGCGUAUCCAACCUGCCCAUCACUUGGGAAUAACCUUGCGAAAGUAAGACUAAUACCCAAUGACAUCCCACGAAGACAUCUGAAUGGGAUUAAAGAUUUAUCGGUGAUGGAUGGGGAUGCGUCUGAUUAGCUUGUUGGCGGGGUAACGGCCCACCAAGGCAACGAUCAGUAGGGGUUCUGAGAGGAAGGUCCCCCACAUUGGAACUGAGACACGGUCCAAACUCCUACGGGAGGCAGCAGUGAGGAAUAUUGGUCAAUGGGCGAGAGCCUGAACCAGCCAAGUAGCGUGCAGGAUGACGGCCCUAUGGGUUGUAAACUGCUUUUAUAAGGGAAUAAAGUGGGUCUCGUGAGACUUUUUGCAUGUACCUUAUGAAUAAGGACCGGCUAAUUCCGUG